GGGCGAAUGGUCUAGGGGUAUGAUAUUCGCUUUGCACUGGUUGCUUGGUUGAGGUCAGGCAAGAUGAAUCAAUGCUUGCGAAGGGUCCGGGGUUCAAAUCCCCGUUCGUCCA